rnacentral:rRNA from 1 species
AGUUUGAUCCUGGCUCAGAGUGAACGCUGGCGGUAGGCCUAACACAUGCAAGUCGAACGGCAGCGGGUAGGGAGCUUGCUCCCUAUGCCGGCGAGUGGCGGACGGGUGAGGAAUGCAUCGGAAUCUACUCUGUCUGGGGGAUAACGUAGGGAAACUUACGCUAAUACCGCAUACGACCUACGGGUGAAAUGGGGGACCGCAAGGCCUCACGCGAUAGAAUGAGCCGAUGUCCGAUUAGCUAGUUGGCGGGGUAAAGGCCCACCAAGGCGACGAUCGGUAGCUGGUCUGAGAGGAUGAUCAGCCACACUGGGACUGAGACACGGCCCAGACUCCUACGGGAGGCAGCAGUGGGGAAUAUUGGACAAUGGGCGCAAGCCUGAUCCAGCCAUACCGCGUGAGUGAAGAAGGCCCUCGGGUUGUAAAGCUCUUUUGUUGGGAAAGAAAUCCUGUUGGCUAAUACCCGGCAGGGAUGACGGUACCCAAAGAAUAAGCACCGUCUAACUUCGUG